UUGUUACAUCUUCAAUUUUGAACGUGUUCAACCUAAUCCUGUGUUUAAGGAAUAAAUAUACAAACUUUGAGCAAAAUCAGAGUAUUUUUUUCGAUAUAAAUUGAAAGAUAAUUAAGCUUCUACUAGCAAUAGCUGCUCAAUCGAAAAACUGCAUCAACAUUUCGGCUUCCCAUAAAACCCAAUCGCAGUUAAAUUGACAUUUUGCAAUACAGUUAUAAAUAACGCUCCGAUAUCGGCGAGUGCGGCAAAAAAGCAGCACUUCUUUCUCCGUUCACUUAUGGUGCGUUCCCAUCAACGCGGUUAACAGUCAUCGUCUGCUCCUUUGGUAUCCACCCACACAACACAAUCAUAUUCAUCACAUUUCGAUCAUUGUAGCGUGGUACUGGUUUCGACAUUUGGAAGCCCCUCGUUUAGUUAUUUUGAAGUUCAGAUUCUACACCAGCUCACUUGUGUGAAUCGGAGCCUCUCUCUUCUUUCAAUGUAUUGGAUGUAAGGCAACGCGAGUGCCGCUCCUCUUUUUAGAUUUGAGCAACUUGGCAUAAUGGGUGCUGGAUGUGAUUCGACGGCUGUGUUUUAGCCAAGACACCCAAAUACCAAUACACCCGAAAGACUCAUGCUUUCCUUUUUUCAUUUUUUUCGUUUGGAUAUUUCCCCCAAAUAGCAGAGUCUUUCGGCGGAGGUUUUCUUGUUCUUGGAACCUCAAAAACCCGGCAAGCGAUUCGAUUUGAACUGCGCUCGGGAGGUUAAAGGUGAUCGCCCGAGAAUAUUUGAAUAUGAGACCGAUGUAGGGACAAGGGAACUUGGCAUGACUUGCGUGAUUAUUAACUUCGUUAAUAAUUACGCAGUUCCGGUCCUAUUGAUUAGUACGCUGAUCUGAGGACUAAAAAUUAUGUUCUUCCAUUUCAACGUGGACCGUGGAAGAGGUCGGAGUGGUGUUAUUUUCUUGAACCGCGAAUUUCACAAAAGGUAGUUGGUGUUUUAAUUAUCGCGAGUUAGUUGUGCUCAUUAGUGUUCUUUUUUUUUUUGUUCAAAUUUUGUUAGCUGGAUAGUCGAUAGAUUUAGGCCAAGUUGAAGUUGUACCCUCCCGUGCAUCCGUUAAAUACAUCCGGAGGUAAGAAUGGCAUUGUGGUUUGGCUCAUGUGGCGUAAUUUUGAAUGGUUCUUGUGUGUGCUUUUCGUGUAACCUCUUUAGGAAGCGCCGCUACUGACCCCACGGAGUCAACGUUGGAAUUGACCAAAAUCCAGCCAAGGCUCAAACCUUUCCGCCUGGUUCGAAGACUGCGCUGCGCGAACAAUACUGGCAGCCGCAACAGGCGUAAACCGGAAGUUAGGACCGCUCAUCGCACGCCCAGCUAGGAGUAGAACCCGUCGACGUAGCGAAUCACAUAAAUCCAUGGUAGUGAGUACCUUUUUUCCUUAUCCAUUAUUAACAUGCGCAUGUAGGAUAAGUGAUAUUGAGCAAAACGCUAUAAAUAGCUACUAACCACGAAAGCCACACAAUUCAAAGCCAUACACACACAAAUAAUGCAUGCAGUGGAGAGCUCACUCCAUAUGACUGUGUAAUUUCAAUCGCUAUAAGCGAAGCCAUUCAUGAAUAGCCUAACGGAGUAAAUAGCAAGCGCGCCGUCUUCUCAACCUAGAUGUGAUGAGAUCGAGACUUGGGAGGAAAAUUAGAGUAGAGUAAUGAAAUUUGAUUAAUGUUCUUAGAGUAAAUAAAUUUUCUAUGUUGAUGGAUGUUCUUUCCUGAUUGACUAAAUGUUCAAUGUAGAAGAGAAGUGUUGAUGAAGCUAAUUGAUUUAAGUGAUUGAGAAUGUUGUGAGAGAUGUUUUGAUAUUUAAUGUAGUGUAAAAUAAACUUUUCCGUUCGAUUUAUAUGUUAAGGUCUAAGAAACAAAUGUGUAUUUACUGGCUCGCGGUGGCCUAAACACCGACGAACCCGUUCACUCUUCUUUUUGUGUUAAUUAGGUCACGAGUCAGGGUGGAGACUCCUUUUUUUGUUUACUUCCACUCUCACUCCUACGCUCCGAAGCGAGCUCUGAAGUUGAGGGGAAGAUCAUUAUUAGUAGGUCCAGUGAGGAGACCUCAGCAUAAGUGGUAGUCAGUGGGAUCGACCCAGACUUCCUUGUGUCUGCAUUACGUCUCGUGGACAAACGAUAUCGCGGGUUCUCCCGAGAGUGCAGGAAAAAAGUCGCGAAGCUAACCGGGUUGGUGAGGAGAAAAGGACAAACCCGCCCUCAGUGGGUGUCUCAUUGCCGGGCAAGGAAAAUAACACGGCGGUCGGUCUCCCUCACGGGAGUGGCGCUUAAGCCGACCGCUUAUCUGCGCAAAUUCCCCGGUAGCGACGGGCUCGCGCGCCCCCCCGGCGUCGCGGGUUACAUUUGAAGAUGUAGCGUGGUACUGGUUUCGACAUUUGGAAGCCCCUCGUUUAGUUAUUUUGAAGUUCAGAUUCUACACCAGCUCACUUGUGUGAAUCGGAGCCUCUCUCUUCUUUCAAUGUAUUGGAUGUAAGGCAACGCGAGUGCCGCUCCUCUUUUUAGAUUUGAGCAACUUGGCAUAAUGGGUGCUGGAUGUGAUUCGACGGCUGUGUUUUAGCCAAGACACCCAAAUACCAAUACACCCGAAAGACUCAUGCUUUCCUUUUUUCAUUUUUUUCGUUUGGAUAUUUCCCCCAAAUAGCAGAGUCUUUCGGCGGAGGUUUUCUUGUUCUUGGAACCUCAAAAACCCGGCAAGCGAUUCGAUUUGAACUGCGCUCGGGAGGUUAAAGGUGAUCGCCCGAGAAUAUUUGAAUAUGAGACCGAUGUAGGGACAAGGGAACUUGGCAUGACUUGCGUGAUUAUUAACUUCGUUAAUAAUUACGCAGUUCCGGUCCUAUUGAUUAGUACGCUGAUCUGAGGACUAAAAAUUAUGUUCUUCCAUUUCAACGUGGACCGUGGAAGAGGUCGGAGUGGUGUUAUUUUCUUGAACCGCGAAUUUCACAAAAGCUGGAUAGUCGAUAGAUUUAGGCCAAGUUGAAGUUGUACCCUCCCGUGCAUCCGUUAAAUACAUCCGGAGGAAGCGCCGCUACUGACCCCACGGAGUCAACGUUGGAAUUGACCAAAAUCCAGCCAAGGCUCAAACCUUUCCGCCUGGUUCGAAGACUGCGCUGCGCGAACAAUACUGGCAGCCGCAACAGGCGUAAACCGGAAGUUAGGACCGCUCAUCGCACGCCCAGCUAGGAGUAGAACCCGUCGACGUAGCGAAUCACAUAAAUCCAUGGUAGUGAGUACCUUUUUUCCUUAUCCAUUAUUAACAUGCGCAUGUAGGAUAAGUGAUAUUGAGCAAAACGCUAUAAAUAGCUACUAACCACGAAAGCCACACAAUUCAAAGCCAUACACACACAAAUAAUGCAUGCAGUGGAGAGCUCACUCCAUAUGACUGUGUAAUUUCAAUCGCUAUAAGCGAAGCCAUUCAUGAAUAGCCUAACGGAGUAAAUAGCAAGCGCGCCGUCUUCUCAACCUAGAUGUGAUGAGAUCGAGACUUGGGAGGAAAAUUAGAGUAGAGUAAUGAAAUUUGAUUAAUGUUCUUAGAGUAAAUAAAUUUUCUAUGUUGAUGGAUGUUCUUUCCUGAUUGACUAAAUGUUCAAUGUAGAAGAGAAGUGUUGAUGAAGCUAAUUGAUUUAAGUGAUUGAGAAUGUUGUGAGAGAUGUUUUGAUAUUUAAUGUAGUGUAAAAUAAACUUUUCCGUUCGAUUUAUAUGUUAAGGUCUAAGAAACAAAUGUGUAUUUACUGGCUCGCGGUGGCCUAAACACCGACGAACCCGUUCACUCUUCUUUUUGUGUUAAUUAGGUCACGAGUCAGGGUGGAGACUCCUUUUUUUGUUUACUUCCACUCUCACUCCUACGCUCCGAAGCGAGCUCUGAAGUUGAGGGGAAGAUCAUUAUUAGUAGGUCCAGUGAGGAGACCUCAGCAUAAGUGGUAGUCAGUGGGAUCGACCCAGACUUCCUUGUGUCUGCAUUACGUCUCGUGGACAAACGAUAUCGCGGGUUCUCCCGAGAGUGCAGGAAAAAAGUCGCGAAGCUAACCGGGUUGGUGAGGAGAAAAGGACAAACCCGCCCUCAGUGGGUGUCUCAUUGCCGGGCAAGGAAAAUAACACGGCGGUCGGUCUCCCUCACGGGAGUGGCGCUUAAGCCGACCGCUUAUCUGCGCAAAUUCCCCGGUAGCGACGGGCUCGCGCGCCCCCCCGGCGUCGCGGGUUACAUUUGGCGCCCAACGUGGUUUUUGGCACGACAUUUGAUGUCAUUGGAAAAUAA